UUGUUCAACAUUCUUUCCUGCACCUUUCUUAUCAGGCACUGGCGGUCAGGGCAGGUCAAAAGUUCGUGUGUGUGUGUGUGUGUGUGUGUGUGUGUGUGUGUGUGUGUGUGUGUGUGUGUGUGUGUGUGUGUGUGUGUGUGUGUGUGUGUGUGUGUGUGUGUGUGUGUGUGUGUGUGUGUGUGCGAGUGUGUGUGUGUGUGUGUGUGUGCGAGUGAACGCAGCUGCUCAGACGACAGGAUGUCCCACUCUGAUGAAUAUGUAGAAAUAUUUACUCUAGUCAAGGUGACAGCUGGUCACAUGACAGGAAGACGACAUGACACGACAAAAGCGACACAAGAAUGGCACAAAGAGAGAAGGUGUGCUAACGUUAGCCGGACACUUGAACUUUAGACGAACUCGUCAGUAAGAAGUAAAAGGCUCGUCUCGACCCCCUCAAAAGAAAACAUCAAGAGAGCAGGAGGUCACAUGACAACAUAAACAACGCCAUGCGUGUGUGUGAGCUUGCCAUCAUGGAGGUCAAAAGUGAAGAUGUGAUUUGAGCACUAAGACAAGACUAUAGUGGCCAUCAACACUGACCUUCUACAGCUUUUCUUGGCCAAAGUGCGGCACAGGGGCCAUCUGUGGUCCCUGACUCCUUUGUCAUCAAAUACACAAUGUCUCUUUUGUGGUGACAUCAUCAACAUGAGGCUGCUCCCAAAAAGGAGGGAUUGUGUGUCGCUUUUAAAAGUGCUCCCCCUCUGGCCAACAUAUGAAAUAACAAGUGUGUGUAAGAAAUGGAUUUCUUUUUAAAUUAUUUUUUUUUAAUAACUGUGUAUAUGUAUAUAAACACAUACUGCAAUAACUUCAAGUAAAUAAUGAAGAUUAAAAAACAAUUAUGAAUUAAAA